UACGGAGGGGGCUAGCGUUGUUCGGAAUUACUGGGCGUAAAGCGCACGUAGGCGGCUUUGUAAGUUAGAGGUGAAAGCCCGGAGCUCAACUCCGGAACUGCCUUUAAGACUGCAUCGCUAGAAUCAUGGAGAGGUCAGUGGAAUUCCGAGUGUAGAGGUGAAAUUCGUAGAUAUUCGGAAGAACACCAGUGGCGAAGGCGGCUCACUGGACCGGAACUGACGCUGAGGCGCGAAAGCGUGGGGAGCAAACAGG
rnacentral:rRNA from 1 species